GUGGCCUCAGCUGUUUCGUAAUGAACCUGGCACAGCAUCACCACGACAUAGCCACAAUAAUGAAUGACUGCGCCGCCGUGUGGCGCUGAGAGGGUGAGGAAUUGGAGUAGCUCCUGGGAUUCACCUGAGCCUGGGUGGCUCCAUCCAGACCUGCAUUAAGAACUCUACCAGAUCACAACUCAAAGUCUUGCCUGUCUCUGAAAAACCAGGCCUGAGCAAUGGAGCAGAUGCCGCCAGCUACCAAGGAAAAGAAGCCUGAGAGACUGUGACUUCACAGAGACUUUUUGCUGGCGCCCUGAGACCAGACUCCAGAUGUGGCCACAGCACCUUCGCCAGCAGGCUUGCAUCUCCCAGUCCCCUCACACCAUCCAGUUAGAAUUUCCCUGCUUCCUGCAAACACACCCAGUCCUACUGAGAUGUCAGGGACCUUGUGGGACGUCUCCUUAGCUUGGAACCUUGUGGAGUCCACUAUGUAACCACUGGAUCUUGUCUCUUUGGCUGUUUGUGCUGAAAUGAACACUUAAAACUCUAGACCUCACUUGAUACACCUGGAAAGCAGAAACUCAGCUUAAUCAAUGCCCAACAUUGACUGGGCAUUGAAGUAGCCGGUAGACUGUAGACUGUAGCAGAGGGGCCCAGAGGCAAAGGUUAGUGAGAUGUGAUUUCUUUUCUCAAAAUUCAAGUCAAGGAGAGAAGGGAGAGAUUUAAGAAGAAGAACCUAAGGAGUGGAAUAAGGUUGACCUAGAAGGAAGAACUCUACAAGCUGAACACAGUGCAAACUCCCAGGCUCAAGCCACAAGACGCUAAGGCCAGCCUGGGCAAUAUAGCAGAACCCAAUCACUCUCACACAAGUGAAUACCUGUUUUUCUCACUUCUCAGUGUUACUCUAAGAAUGAAAUGAAGGGUGUGCGCUGUUUGUGAGGCUCUCUACAAAUGUAAGCAGAUAUGACCUCUUUACACGGCUUCUGUGGGAAACACUGGCUGAGCUGUCUGCACAAAUCUUUUAACAAAAACAACUCCUACAGCUGAAUCCACAAGGGAGGAGAGGCACCUCCCCAUGGUACCCGACCAUUUUGACCAUUUGGUUAACUAAGCGCAUGCAACUGAGAGAAUGGGAUGGAAUCAGGUGAGCUCCUGGACACCUUUGUUCUGGGUUUGGAACAGGAUGAAGGGAAUCCAGUCUCACUCUGGGUGAGAAGAAAACCAAAGAUUGCCAGAUGAGAGCAGCAGGAGGAGGAUGGAGCAGAGGUCCAGAGAGGAAGGGAAGCAAGAAGCAGAGGUUUCCAGGAUCUGAAUCAUGUCUGCCCCUGCCUGCUAGAAACAAUAUCCCCAAAGAGGCCAUCUGUUUGCUGAAGGAAAGAGGAAAGGCAUCUCAAUGAUGAUGGCCACUCAAAGGUCACUUGAGAGACUGUGUUUAUCUAUUUAUGCAGAUCAUCAAUUUGAUCAUUGAUAAUAUGAGAGAAAUCUGACACAUUAAAGAAACACAGGCCAAGAAGUAAAGUAUUUGGAUCCUGCAGUGACAAGCUGAGAGUUAACAUAUGAUAUAGUCAAUAAAUGUAACAUCAUUUUGGGGUCAGUAGCAUUGGGUCCUUGUUGUCUCUCCAAGAUGUCAUCUUGAUGCGUUAAAGUCUUGAUGCCUCCCCAAGUCGUUAGCUUAUUCUUUCUCUUGGGAUAUCUCCUCUUGGCGUGUUUGUUGUCUUCCUUCAGAUGCUUCAUUUGCCCAGUGUUCUCCAGGAUGCUGACCUGCUCAGAUGUAUGGGAACUGAAAACAUCUGGGGCUUUGUUCAUCUUCUGAUAAGACACAAGUGUAAACCUCCCCUGAUGGUAGAAGAACACGGAUCCUUUCCACUGAUUAGUCUCUAGAGCUUUCAUUUAACACGUACUGUGUCUCCUUUAGGGAAAAAUUAUUUGGGGCAACAGAGAAAGCAUAGAAUCCUUUAAAGUGAAACAAAACAAAACAAACAAACAAACAAAAAAAACCCCCAAACCUAAAGUAAGCAUGGCUAAAUAUAGCCCAGCAUGUGGGGAUUUGGGUGGGUGCAUAUUCCCCCUUCUCAUUUUUAAAACUUGUUGUUUAAGUAUUUCAUGGUGUCUUUCCACAAUAGCUUUAACCCUGUGGGUUGUAAGGGACUCCAGUCAUGCGAUUAAUAUUUUGUAAUUGUAAAAUUUCUUAAAGCGUUUGCUGGUAUAAGCAGGACCAUUCUCAGUUUUUAGUUGGAAGGUUUUCCCUGGAAAGGGAAAGGUGUGUAAUAAAUGAUAAUGGCAUCACUAUGUGACCAGAAGCAACAGUCAUAUUUUUAAAAAGUAUCAACUGUUGCAUGAGCAUAUUUUAAACAUCAAAAUUCAGAAUAUGAGUAACAGCUGUUUGCCAAGUGACAUUAGAUUUUAACGCUCAAAGAUUCAUUCCACCAGCAGGUGGCAGUGGGGUAAAAGAACAGAAAGGGCAGGCUCCAAUGAUUUGUUGAGCUUGUUCAUGAGGUAGAAAGAAUUAAACUUGCAGUGAUCUUUGUAUUUUGAUAAAGAAGUUCAUGAGAUUUCCCAAGGGGACUGAAAUAAGAAUGUUAUAUGUGAAAAAAAGGCCAAUGCAUUGGCUUGAGCAUUAGUGGGUGUGAACGGAUGAGAAGGAGCAUGAAAAUAAGUAAUGAAAAAAUAUUGAGAUUAUUGUUAUAUAGAUGUCUGAAGGGACAGAAACAAUUGUGAAAUAGCUUUAAUAGUUGGAUUGGGUUUAAGUCUUUCUUUUCCUCCUCCUCCUCCUCCUCCUCUUCUUCUUCUUUGUCUUCUUCUUCUUAAUUUUGGAUUUUCCAGAAAGGGUUUCUCUAUGUAGCCCUGGCUGUCCUGGUACUCACUCCAUAGUCCAGGCUGGCCUCAAACUCAGAGAUCUGUCUGCCUCUGUCUGCCUCUGCCUCCCGAGUGCUGGGAUUUAAGGCAUGCACCACCACUGCCUGGCUAACUCUUGCAGUUUCCAAAAGAGAAGCAGUUUGAGCACAAAUGGAAAGCCUGCUAAAAGCUGAUCGGUUACAGCGAGUUUAGACUGUUGAGCUGUUCAACCAGGGGUGGAUACAAGCUUUUUGUGUGUGUGUGAAGGAUAUGGAAUUUAUAUAUAAAACAUAAGCUCCUUUCCCUUUGAAGGGCCAUCUGUAAACACAUUAAAAGUUAUCUCUAUAGGAUUUUUAGAUGUAAUUUUAAGUAAUGCCCAUGGACUAUCUUCAAAUAUUCUUAAAAGGGGAGCUUUAGAAUAAUGACUAUUUAUAGAUCCCAAGUAAUGUGCUAAUGCUACCUGCCAAUUAUGAUCAUUGUGGAACAAAUAAUCAAACUUGCCCCCACAAGGAGAUCAACAAAGCUAAAAAAUCAUGAGCCCAGAGGAUCCUGCAGAGACUGAUGCACCAACCAAGGACCAUGCAUGGAGAGGACCUAGACUUCCUGCUUAGAUGUAGCCAAUUGGCAGCUCAGUCUCCCUGUGGGUUCCCGAGGAAGGGGAGCAGGGGCUGCCUCUGUCAUGAACUCAAUUGCCUGCUCUUUGAUCACUUGCCUCUGGUGAUGUAGCCUUGCCAGGUCACAGAGGAAGAGGAUCCAGGCAGUCCUGAUCAGACUUGAUAAGCUAUGGGCAGAUGGCAGAGGAGAACUCCCCCUUUCAGUGGACUAGGGGAAGGGGAUAAAGAGGAAGAGGGAUGGAGGAUGGGACUGGGAAGAGCUGAGGGAAAUCGGGAUAGAUAAUGAAUAAAUUGUUUAAAAGGGGGGGAGAGUUGACAAAAUACAGUUUGGCAGUUAUUAAAAACAAACAAACCAACCUGUGUUUAUUUAACGGCACAAUGAUUUUGGUGGCUCCUUACCGGUAAGUGGUUUAAGACAUCCCUUCCCAUCAUUAUUAAUUCUAUAGUUUCUUGUAAAUACCGAGUUACAGAUUGUUGUGGAAAGCUAUGACAUGCAUACAUUUCUAUAAUACCUUGUUGAUUUAUAAUUCCAGUGGGUGAUGAGAACAAAGGCAGGAUAAGUAACUGAUAAGGAAGUAGCCGAUUCAUCCUAUGACCUACUGUUUUAGCAGCAGCUAAAUCUUUGGUAGUACGAGGCAUAUAAGAACAUACCCAAUUGACAUGGACCCAAUUU